UACGUAGGGGGCAAGCGUUAUCCGGAAUUACUGGGUGUAAAGGGAGCGUAGACGGUAAUGUAAGUCUGGAGUGAAAGGCGGGGGCCCAACCCCCAGACUGCUCUGGAAACUAUGUUACUAGAGUGCAGGAGAGGUAAGCGGAAUUCCUAGUGUAGCGGUGAAAUGCGUAGAUAUUAGGAGGAACACCAGUGGCGAAGGCGGCUUACUGGACUGUAACUGACGUUGAGGCUCGAAAGCGUGGGGAGCAAACAGG
rnacentral:rRNA from 1 species